GCGAGGCAAUAUUGAAUCAAAGUACGGAUAGUACUGAAAGGUGAUGGCGUGUGUUGCGAAAAGCUUAACUCGGGUGAACUUAAAACAGAACAGAGAUAGUAAUUACAUAAAUGUGGAAUCAUUAAUGGUAAUUCAUUUUACUCGAGCUCGGUCUAUCAUGCAUCGCAUCAUAUGAUACUUCAUACUGUGACCAAUCAACAGGGGAUACUUACUCCUCCUAGGCACCUGAUCCCACCUCUGGUGUGUCCAGGAGUCCGCGUUUGUUCUACUUUUAAUUUUGUUUUCUUUAUAGAAAUUAUGAGAUUGAUUACUGUU